GAAAUAUUCGUUGUGGGCUCCAGGAGGUGGGGAUGUGGGUGUUCCCAUUCUUUCAACUUUUCUGUGUUUUUGAAAAUGUUCUUUAUAAAACACUGGGGAGCAAAAAUUGGUUUUAAAAUCAUUCUUUCUCUUUCCCCAAAACCCCUAACUGACAUGCUUCUUCCAUGAGAAAAUCCUGAUGGAUUGAGACAGGAAGCUCACAGCUCUGCUCUUUUUAAUUUUUUGCUAGAUGAUUUUAACUCUUCCCUCAGUUCUUGGCAGGAUGCUCUCUCUUUCCCUCCCACUUUGGUUCUUGCUUUUCACCUGAUGAUGGAAGGGAAAUUCUAUCCUAACUGGACCUGAAUCCCCAAGCCCUGGCACCUACUUGCAACCCAAUA
rnacentral:lncRNA from 1 species